rnacentral:ncRNA from 2 species
UGAUACCCGGGUCAAAAGGUCUAAACCCACAUAAGCUCGCUCAUAGGUGGAUGAAAAACCUUGGAACCCGCCCCAAUAUGAGCAUAAAAGCAGGAUGAUAAUCCCACGAUAUGCUAAUAUUGGGUAGGUUUGUUGGAGUGCGUAGCACGUAACAAUCCGCAGGUAUCA